rnacentral:rRNA from 1 species
UACGGGGGGGGCAAGCGUUGCUCGGAAUUAUUGGGCGUAAAGCGUACGCAGGCGGCUUGGCAAGUCGAGUGUGAAAUCCCGGGGCUCAACCCCGGACUGGCAUUCGAAACUGCUGAGCUUGAGUGCGGGAGAGGGAAGCGGAAUUCCUGGUGUAGAGGUGAAAUUCGUAGAUAUCAGGAGGAACACCGGUGGCGAAAGCGGCUUCCUGGCCCGAUACUGACGCUCAUGUACGAAAGCGUGGUGAGCAAACAGG